rnacentral:siRNA from 1 species
UACUACGAACAAUUCCUUCCAA